rnacentral:rRNA from 1 species
GACGAACCGUGCGAACGUUAUUCGGAAUCAUUGGGCUUAAAGGGCGCGCAGGCGGCGGCGUAAGUUGGAAGUGAAAUCCCAUCGGCUCAACCGUGGAAUCGCUCCCAGUACUGCGUCGCUCGAGGGGGAUAGGGGUCUGCGGAACUACCGGUGGAGCGGUGAAAUGUGUUGAUAUCGGUGGGAACGCCAGUGGCGAAAGCGGCAGACUUGACCCUUCCUGACGCUGAGUGCGCGAAAGCUAGGGGAGCAAACGGG